rnacentral:rRNA from 1 species
AGCCGCGGUAAUACCAGCUCUCCGAGUGGUGUGGACGUUUAUUGGGCCUAAAGCAUCCGUAGCUGGCUGAACAAGUCCCCUGUUAAACCCACCGAUUUAAUCGUUGGCUUGCGGGGGAAACUGCUCGGCUAGGGGACGAGAGAGGCAAGCGGUAUUCUCGGGGUAGGGGUGAAAUCCUAUAAUCCCGAGAAGACCACCAGUGGCGAAGGCUGCUUGCUAGAACGCGCCCGACGGUGAGGGAUGAAAGCUGGGGGAGCGAACCGGAUUAGAUACCCGGGUAGUCCCAGCUGUAAACGAUGCAGACUAGGUGUUUGGACGGCCACGUGCCGUUCUAGUGCCGCAGGGAAGCUGUUAAGUCUGCCGCCUGGGGAGUACGAUCGCAAGAUUGAAACUUAAAGGAAUUGGCGGGGGAGCACCACAAGGGGUGAAGCUUGCGGUUUAAUUGGAGUCAACGCCGGAAAUCUCACCGGGAGCGACAGCAGUGUGAGAGCCAGAUUAAAGGUCUUGCUAGACGAGCU